rnacentral:rRNA from 1 species
CAGUCAUGCUGCUGAGACUCAACCUUAGGUUUUCCUUGGUGUACUUCUCAGUUGGCAGGCCAGCAUCAGUUUUGGCUGUUGGAUAAGGGUAGGAGGAAUGUGGCAUCCUCGGAUGUGUUAUAGCCUCUUACUGGAUACAACGGCUGGGACUGAGGAACGCAGUGUGCCUUCGGGCGGACCUUCGGGGUACCUUCACACCUUAGGAUGGCUGGCGUAAUGGCUUUAAGCGACCCGUCUUGAAACACGGACCAAGGACGUCUAACAUAUAU